UCUGAAACAUGAGUUUCCGUACGAUCACCGAAGUUAAGCAGCGUCGAGCCUGGGCAGCACAUGGAUGGGUGACCGCUUAGGAAUACCAAGUACUGUAAG